CAGCAUACAAAAAGUUGAAACCAAACACUUCAUAGUUAAGAUUUGCCUUUUUGUUUGGUUAUGUUUUUGAAUUAAUUAUAGAAACUAUAUCUGAAAUAGAAGUCAACAAAUUUUAAUUUUCCAACCACUUAUCUCAGAAAUAACUUUUCCACCAUAUAUCCAAGUUUUUCUUUUGUUUUUAAUGAUUACCUAGAAGAGAAACAAAGAAAAAUUCGGGAAAAUUCUAACUUUCAAUUAAACAAGAUUUUGGGGGUGACAGACUUAGUGGAAAAGAUGACGAGACAUAAACGGCCAGAGAAAGAAACUGUCUACGAGCCACGAGUAGUGGAGGAAUCUGACGAACAACUACCAGUGACAUCUUCUUCGACGUGUUGCUUCUUCUAUGCCGGAGGUCAAGGAUCAAGCUUCACUGACGACGUUUAUGUCAUCUUUGUCUCAAAUCUCACCUCGUCGUCACUGGUUCAUCUCUGACCAGCAGUCUAUGGGCACAAAUUGAAACUCGAGCAACAAACUUUCUUGCACAUUUAGUUCUUCAGCUUUUGUAUAAUUUUGUUUUGGCUCUAACUUUUUGUUUUCCAGAAACAUUCUAUUGAUUUC